GUUUGUUUCGCCUCAGAUUUUUUGUAGUUUCCUUCCUUGUAUCGUAUUGUAUGAUUUUAUUUUAUUUUUAUUGGUAGGUCGGGAUAGAUGCUUGUUCAUGGCUUCACAAAGGAGCUUAUUCAUGCAGCAUGGAGCUCUGCCUCAACUCACGGACCGUUGCUGCAAAGCGCCAUUUAAAGUAUUUUAUGCACCACAUCAAUCUGCUUCGGCAUUAUAGUGUCAUACCGGUAGUUGUAUUUGAUGGCUGCAGCAUCCCCUGCAAGUCUGCGACGGAGCAUGAGCGCCACAGGUGAAGGGAAAGCAACCUUAUGCUGGCAAAGGAGAAGCUCAAGGAAGGGAAUGUCAGUGCUGCCGUC